rnacentral:tmRNA from 1 species
GGGGAUGACCGGUUUUGACAGCGAGAUCAGUCAAAAUAUAAGCAUGCCGAGUAAUGAAAUAGUUCUCGUAAAUCACGAUUUCAACUUUAUAAACGGCGAAGAUAAUUACGCUUUAGCUGCAUAAUCUGAAUCACAGUAGGAUAUUGCCUAGUCGCGCAAGGCGCGAAAGCUAAAUGUCUCUUGAAAGCCUUGGUUCACGGCGUUCAGUUAAGAGGCAUCGUAAAAGUAAACCUAGAAAUGUAAAGGCUUCGGUUACAUUUCGAAAUUUAAGAAGCUAAGCCCGAAGUAGAUAGUUUUUAGUCGGCUACGGGACGAAAAUCAAAUAAAAACUAAGCAUGUAGAAAGUAUUUUGGUUGCUUGUUUGGACGAGGGUUCGAGUCCCUCCAUCUCCACUA